UCACUUCUUCUUCUUCCUUCUUCUUCUAAACCCUUAAACCAAAAAUAAACCAAUCUCUUUAGUUCGUUCUCUUAUCGAAGCACAAAGUCGAUCCCUCUUCUCCUUCGAUUCUCUGAUUUAUCGUCGCUGAAAAAGGUUCUAUCUUCAGCUUUCUUCUCCUCGAUUUGUUGUUGCGAGAUUCGGCUUCGAUGAUCGAGAGAUACAAAACAGGGCGAUCAAACGGUGAUGAGUUUGGGUAAACGGUGGUGAUCGAGGCUUUUGACUCCUCUUCUUCUGGUUCCUCGUGGCGGUGCUCUUGCUUCUUCUUCUUCUUCUUCCCUUCAAGGGGUUUAUUAAUUGGAUUAAACAUAUCGAUUCUUCCAAGAACGCCAUUGGACUAAAGCUUACAAUUUUCAGUUCCUGAAAUCAGAGCAACGGAUCAUUCAAGGUAGAGAGCCUAUGUGUAACUCCAACUAUGUCUGUCAAGAAAAGGGUGAUUCCUCUAAGUUACGUUUUGGCCAACUCAAGGAACUGUUCUGAAGCGGGUAGACUUUGCUACAGUAUCUUGGUGGGGAGGUUGAAACUUACCAAUGUAUUCGAUUCUGGAGAAUGCUCCAUUUUAUAAUAUGGGAUAUGCUCAUUCAAUAGGUAUGAACUUUGUGUUAAUUGGGUUUUCAAGGAAAGAUCUCCAUUUUGUGAAAACUGCAGGCAUAUGCUCAAUUUGUGGACCUAUUAGCUUGAACUUUCUACAAACCAAAGACUUCUUCUGUGGAGUUUGGAGCUAAUGAGGCUGGUUUAGUUUUCUCGGAAUGACUAUGUUCCUGAUGGUAUAACGAAAGUGAGACUGCCCAGAUUUUAUAAAUACCCCAUGCUCAUAUUCAUCAAGCUGAAAAAUGCAUGGUCUCGAGGUCAUUGAUGUUCUCUAGCUAUUACCAUGAAGAUUUGAUCGAGGACUUCCUCACAAUUUUCCAAGGAUCAUGUAACAUCAUCAUUACUACAUUUAUAACCGAGAUAUAUGUAUUCUUUCAAUAACCAAAGUGUGCACACUCUCAAUGAGAAGAUUUGUGGUAUGCUCUCUUUGCUUCUGGUUCUGUUUUUAGUGUACUUGAGCUUCGUUACAAAUUGAAAAACUGAAUGUUUUGCUGUGUUGUCCAUUUCAUUAUAGCUGGUUAUAUGAGUUUGAGUUUAGUUCUCUUAGAUAAGGGUAUUGUAGUUUAUGUGCUGUGGAAUGCAUUAUGCAUUUGCAGUUUUAUGUGUUUGAUACCGGAAGCAUCUUGGCAGGAAGCCAUCAAUGUUGCUGCAAAAGACUGGGGUCUUCAGUGCCUUCGUUAUGAGAUCAGUGAGUUAAUUUUUUGUUGAGUCUUUGCUGGUGUUUGCUGGAUCUAAUACAUGUAUAUCCAGGGGAUAUCAUGCCUCCUAAUGGAGUAAGAGUUGCUAUGGAAAUGCAAGCUGAAGCUGUAGAAAGAGAGCCCAGAUUCUCGAGUCUGCAGGAGAACGUCAAGCCCAUAUCAACAGAGCUGAUGGUAAGAAAAGUUCUGUAAUCUUGGAAUCAGAAGCUGCACAGAUGGACCAAGUCAAACGAACUCAAGGUGAGGCCCAAGCAAAUAUUAGCUAAAGCAAAAGCAACUGGUGCAAUGGAGCUAAAUUCGGGAACGGCCACUGUCUGAGCCGCCUCAGGAUACUUGAGAUAUGGGAGAUAUCACAGCCUUGAAGGUUUACGAAUUGGGGGAUCUUAUUGCUUGAUAAAAACUUAGAUUCCUCCGCAAACCAAAUAUGCGGUGAGCAGUACUUGCAAAGUGAAUAGUUGCUCUCCUUUGGUCUCCGGACCAUAGUUGCUCAAAUAGGAACACUUGUCCGCGUUAUUCGAAUGUGAAGUUCACCGUCAUUUAAUUAGUCUGUGCAACUAUGCGUUCGUCCGUUAUGCUGUAUCCAUUUUCAGCUUGGUUAUACCAAACUAAAGUUCGAAUCGAAUCGCGCAUAUCUUCCGUUUUCAGCUUGGUUAAUGGGCCUUCAGCAAAAGACCCUUCCUGCCAUAAGUGUAAGGUUGGAUUGUUAUCUACCAACAAAAUUUGCUAGUUACUAUAUUGGAAUGACAAUUUCAAAUCUCAAUUUUGUGAUAUUGCUCUAACCGGUUACAAGUACUAAAAGACUUAGGUGAUUAGAUUGAAGAAGGACAAUACCAAACUGUGCAGCCUCUAAUCCUUGUAACUUGCAAGUUAUAGAAAGGUGUGAUCAGAUCUAAGUUACGAUUGCAGCUUUAACCACCCGUUAGGAGAAGAACCAAGCAAGAAUCAUGGGCAUAGUAAAAGAUUUUGCAUUUUCUAAUAUCAGUCACAAGUUUUUCUCUCUUUUACCAAUUCAAGACUCAAGCAAUACAUCAAUACUAUUUAGAAAGGAUUUUCAAAAAAAUUAUUAUUCUAUUAUUUUAUCGAAAUAUGUCUAAAAUUACACUAAUCCCAACUUGA